GCUCCAGUGGCACAAUGGGUCAGUGCACAGUACUUAUAAGGCAGUACCAAGAUGCAGAUAUGCUGAGGUUGUGAGUUCAAGCCUCACCUGGAGCA
rnacentral:tRNA from 1 species